GGUGCUAAUACCGUAUAUCCCCUGAGGGGGAAAGAUUUAUCGCCAUGGGAGGAGCCCGCGUAGGAUUAGCUAGUUGGUGGGGUAAUGGCCUACCAAGGCGACGAUCCUUAGCUGGUCUGAGAGGAUGAUCAGCCACACUGGGACUGAGACACGGCCCAGACUCCUACGGGAGGCAGCAGUGGGGAAUAUUGGACAAUGGGGGAAACCCUGAUCCAGCCAUGCCGCGUGUGUGAUGAAGGCCUUCGGGUUGUAAAGCACUUUCGCACGUGACGAUGAUGACGGUAACGUGAGAAGAAGCCCCGGCUAACUUCGUGCCAGCAGCCGCGGUAAUACGAAGGGGGCAAGCGUUGUUCGGAAUUACUGGGCGUAAAGGGCGCGUAGGCGGUGCACUAAGUCAGGCGUGAAAGCCCUGGGCUCAACCCGGGAAUUGCGCUUGAUACUGGUGCGCUUGAAUCCAGGAGAGGUUGGUGGAAUUCCCAGUGUAGAGGUGAAAUUCGUAGAGAUUGGGAAGAACACCGGUGGCGAAGGC
rnacentral:rRNA from 1 species